rnacentral:tRNA from 1 species
GCCGUCUUAGCUCAGUUGGUAGAGCACCUGACUUGUAAUCAGGGGGUCAUCAGUUCGAAUCCGAUAGGCGGCACCA